GGGGCUGUAGCUCAGUGGAUAGAGCGCCGCCGUCCUAAGGCGGGCGUCGCCGGUUCGAUUCCGGCCAGCCCCU
rfam:Chloroflexi bacterium 13_1_40CM_4_68_4 13_1_40cm_4_scaffold_32945, whole genome shotgun sequence.